AAUCAGCGGUGCCCCUCGGUGUGAGGGAGCGAUGGCGGCGGCGGCGGCUGAAACGCGGCUUUAUCUUCAACAGAUGUGCGGCUAUGAAGCUUAGCGGGGCUCAGCUCGGCGCGCGGCCGUCCAGGAGCUGCUGAGCGAAGGACCAGGCUGGUGUUGUGGGCUCCAUCGUGUGGCCCCAGCUCCUGCCUCAGCACCAGCAUCACCCGGUGCCAGGACCAUGGGGCCAGCCCUGCCCGGUGCUGCUGCACCUCUGUGGGGAUGGAGAUGGUGAGGAGGAUGAUGAAGAAGAGCCCAUGGAUCAGGAUGAGGAGAGAUUAACCCUUACCCUGCCGAAACCUCUGUGCAUCGAAGACGUGCACCAGCUCCCCACGCCACAGCGGCAGCACCAUGGUACGUGCAGCUCAGCAGUGAACCUCCAGCAUUCCUGUCGUCAUUCGCAUCAUCCCGGAUCCAUCCCAGAGAUGCAGGAAGAUCCCUCGAUGCCCCGUAGCGACCCAGAGAGACUCCUGGACACUCCAUAAAGCCCUGUACACCCUACAGGCAUCGCAUAGAGCCAUACAGUGACCCACAGACACCCGACAGCAACCAUUGGACCCAUAUAGACCCCAUAGUGACCCAUAGAUCCCCAUAACUACCCACAGAGACCACAGAGUGACCCACACACUGCCCCAUGGCAACCCAUAUCACCCCAUAGACACCCUCCACUGCCCCAUAGCAUCCUAUAGACCCACAACUCACACCCCACAGCUUUUAUUGACCACUGGCAUUGCAGUAACAGCAGCAGAAUCUGUAUACAUAGCACCCGAUAGGAUGGUGAGUAGAACCUGGCAGGCAGACAGGCACCAGGAUCCAGCAGGUGGGCAGUAGGACCUCGCAGGCAGGUGGGAAGGCAGGCACUAGGACCCAGCCUGCAGAAUCUGGGAACCUGUGGGCAGACAUUAGGACCCAGUGGGCAGGCAGUCAGGUGGGCAGUGGGGCAGACACCAGGUCAGUAAAGGCCUGGGAGGUGUGAGCUGUGUUGUGGGUUGGGCUACUGUGGGAUUAUGGGCAUGGUCUCGGUUAGGGGUCAGGGCUAGUAAAGGGGUGGGUCCUGUGCUGGGGUCAGGCCCAUGAGGGCCAUGGGUGUGGUCUAGGCUGUGGGUGGAGGCACAACUGUGGUGGGGCCAGUGUACAGGUGGAGCUUGGUGCUGGUGAGGGAGUGGGGCGGCUGGGGGCAUGGUCCAGGCUGUGGACAGGGUUAGGGUGGAUGCAGAGACAAGUGGCUCUCCAGGGGGGUCAUAGGUCAGGGGUCAAAGCCCAAAUGUCAUU
rnacentral:lncRNA from 1 species